GACGAACCGUGCGAACGUUAUUCGGAAUCACUGGGCUUAAAGCGCGUGUAGGCGGGCCGGCACGUCGGUCGCUGAAAUCCCCCGGCUCAACCGGGGAAGCGGCGCCGAUACGACCGGCCUCGAGGGACGUAGGGGGGGCUGGAACUUCCGGUGGAGCGGUGAAAUGCGUUGAGAUCGGAAGGAACGCCCGUGGCGAAAGCGGGCCCCUGGACGUCCACUGACGCUGAGACGCGAAAGCCAGGGGAGCGAACGGG
rnacentral:rRNA from 1 species